rnacentral:antisense_RNA from 1 species
CUUCAGCGCGCCCAGCCACACCGGACGGCCCUCCGGGCGGUCCUGUCCGUACGUCGCCAGCAGGGCCUGUGCCUC